GUCAUAGUAUAGUAAGGGGUCAAAAACCAUGAAAAAAUGUCAGGGUCAACUGUUGUACUUGUGUUUUUCAGGUCUAGUCUUUGAACUGCUGCAGCCUGGAGAGAAAUAGCAGCUCUCACCUUACUGACCAAAGAGGUGUCGCCACUUUGUCCACGACUGCAGAGACCAGACCAGGAUCAUGACAGAGCGGCCUCCAGGUGGAUUCUCAGAAACAACUGGUUCACCAAAGGUGAAGGAGGAGGAGAACAAGACAGCAGCUGAACUUCUGGACCUGGAGUGGAUCACAAAAAACAACAGAGAGAUGGAGUUGUUAGCCAAACAUAUACACUCUAUACAUCACAGACCUCCAGCAUCUUGCUGCUCAUCCCCUUGUUCAGGAGGGCCCCCCUUACCCUACCCUACCCUCCCUGUAAUGUUGUUAUGAGCUCAUUUUAAAAAGAUGAACAUGUCUCUAUGAUGCUUCUUUAAGAUGCAUCAUAGAGACAUGUUAGUCUAGGUGCUCAUAACAACAUUACAGUCUUUGCUUUAGCUCCCACCUGCUGAAUAAUAACAUGUAAUGUAGUUAGAACUACAUCAUCCAAACACUAACAUGUCUCCAUCAAACAUCUUCAAGAACAUUUAACUGCUAUAAUGACAUAAAGCAGUUAAAUGCUCUUAAAGAAGCUUUAAAAGACAUGUUAGUCUUUGGAAAGUGUGCUCACAACUACAUUGUGUGUUGGGUGGGAGAAUAAAGCAGAGCACCUCCUAGUGGUCAAACAUCUGUCAUUAUCUUUGCUGUAGUUUAACUGUUGUCUGGAACAAAAUAAACUAUUCUUAAAAAUGUUUUGAGUUGAGUUUAUGUUUUGUCAAACAUGUAAUUUUAUUGAGCUAAAUGAUUCUGAAUUAAACAUGCACCUCUAUUAUGGGUUAUAAUUACAGAUGAUUUAUAUUAAUGAUUACUUCUUUUAUUAUGGGUUAUUAUUUAAUGUUAUCCAUUACUUCUAUUAUUAUGGACUAUAACAUUACUUAAAAUAUUAAUCAUUACUUCUACAACUACAAAUAUAUUAUAGAUUACUUUUAAUAUUAAUUACCUGUAGUAUUUAAAAAAUACUUCUAUAAUAACUCCAUUGUCAUGGACUAUUCAGUUAUUAGAAAAUUACUUAACAGAUUACUUGUAAUAUUAAAUACUGAUACACAAGUCAUUACCUCUAUUAUUAAAAAUUACUUAAAGUAUUACUCAUUAUUUCCAUUACAGCAGCUAAAAUGUAUUAACACAUGUUCCAGACAGCAGGUUUAAAAGUGUAACUACAGCUGAGAUAAUGACAGAGCCCGAAUGAAAACAAUAAACUAAC